AACACGGCAGCACGACCCUGGGAGUUAACUCCGCCAGGGCGUGAAAAUGCGGAAAAUGCGUGAAGGGGAGGAAGAGGGGUGAGCGGAAGCUGGGAGCGUAGGUUUGUGGGAAUGGGCGGCAAAAUUUAACAAACUAUGAGUGUUAUGAAUUGAGCUUUUUUAAAGUUCCUCUGGAAAGAAGAUGAAGUGAUAUCUUUAGGAUCAUCCCAGGAGGCUGAGAAAGCCUUGGUUUCUGCAGUGGCCAUCAGAGAUCAUGAGCUACUUCAGAUUGCAACAGCAGCAUCCCAUCGUUUUGAAAAGAAGAAAAAAAAUCUAGAACUAUAACUGCAAUCAUUUGAAUGAAACCGAUGCCUUUGAGUGUUCAGAGAAGUGAUUAACCAGCUCCUUGUUAUUCUGCUGUCAAGGUAUGUCAUGUGGCUGAGAUUCAAUUAGUGAUCCAAUUAUAUUCCAGGAUGUUUUCACACAUAACAUUACUAAGCUUCAAUAUCUGGGUGCUUGAUUUCCCCCCACCCUAAAAUGUACAAGUUUUUAUUUUCAUGAAAUAUCCAUUUCCCUCAUCUCCUAAAACCAUUCUGCAUAUCGUUUUGUUGUCUGUGUUGUUACUGUUUCCUCAAAUUCCAUCUAUACUGGCAAACUUGGUAAGCAUUUCUUCCAUCUACUACUUAGAUCAUUAAUAAAAAUGCAAAGAAUACUAUUCCCAGGAGAGAAUCCUGUGGCAUCUUCCUUCUAUCCAAAUGAGGGACAACAGCUGAGCUAAGGGACAUACACCAUCCUAAAGUGGCUAAUAGAUAACAUUAAGUCACUGAUUGCAGCUCUGGCAUAAUAGUUGGUAAAGUGUGUGACAGAUUACUCCAUAGAAAAAAUCCAUGGCAAAAUAGUUGAUAAAGGGGAAGGCACACAAGACAAUGACUUGAAGACAAAGUAGGUAAGACUCUGGACUCCACCCAAAGACAUUGGAUACGAGAUGGAGAGCAAAUUAAUUUUAUAAAUAAAAGAAGUUGCUGGAAUAUGUGUGUUCCAUAGUUAGAUAAAGGGGAAGAAAUGCACUGGAACUCCCAGGAAAUAGCAGUGUAAUUUGUGCCUACUACUUUAUAUCUCUUUGAAUGAUUGGCAAAUUAGUUUGGG